rnacentral:rRNA from 1 species
GAUGAACGCUGGCGGCGUGCCUAAUACAUGCAAGUCGAACGAAACCUCUUUAUCACCGAGUGCUUGCACUCACCGAUAAAGAGUUGAGUGGCGAACGGGUGAGUAACACGUGGGCAACCUGCCCAAAAGAGGGGGAUAACACUUGGAAACAGGUGCUAAUACCGCAUAACCAUAGUUACCGCAUGGUAACUAUGUAAAAGGUGGCUAUACUACCGCUUUUGGAUGGGCCCGCGGCGCAUUAGCUAGUUGGUAGGGUAAAGGCUUACCAAGGCAAUGAUGCGUAGCCGAAGUGAGAGGUUGAUCGGCCACAUUGGGACUGAGACACGGCCCAAACUCCUACGGGAGGCAGCAGUAGGGAAUCUUCCACAAUGGGCGAAAGCCUGAUGGAGCAACGCCGCGUGGGUGAAGAAGGUCUUCGGAUCGUAAAACCCUGUUGUUAGAGAAGAAAGUGCGUGAGAGUAACUGUUCACGUUUCGACGGUAUCUAACCAGAAAGCCACGGCUAACUACGUG